ACAGAAAAAACAAGAAACUCACGUUCAU
rnacentral:piRNA from 1 species